AUGAAAGCAAGAGGAGAGACUAUUUCGGUAGCGCCGAAGGAGCAAGCAGGAGCGAAACUCUCAGGCAAAAAGACUCUUGUUUGACG
rnacentral:ncRNA from 2 species